rnacentral:rRNA from 1 species
AUUGAACGCUGGCGGCAGGCCUAACACAUGCAAGUCGAGCGGAGCGGCGGACGCGUGAGUAUUGCCUAGGAAUCUGCCUGGUCGUGGGGGAUAACGUCCGGAAACGGGCGCUAAUACUGCAUACUAUCAGAUGAGCCUAGGUCGGAGAGCUAGUUGGUGGGGUAAAGGCCUACCAAGGCGACGAUCCGUAACUGAUCCGAGAGGAUGAUCAGUCACACUGGAACUGAGACAGGGUCCAGACUCCUACGGGAGGCAGCAGUGGGGAAUAUUGGACAAUGGGAGAAAUCCAGUUCCAGCCAUGCCGCGUGUGUGAAGAAGGUCUUCGGAUUGAAAAGCACUUUAAGAUGGGAGACGUUACCAACAGAAUAAGCACCGGCUAACUUCGUGCCAGCAGCCGCGGUAAUC